AUGAACGCUAGCUACAGGCUUAACACAUGCAAGUCGAGGGGCAGCAUGGUCUUAGCUUGCUAAGGCCGAUGGCGACCGGCGCACGGGUGAGUAACACGUAUCCAACCUGCCGUCUACUCUUGGACAGCCUUCUGAAAGGAAGAUUAAUACAAGAUGGCAUCAUGAGUUCACAUGUUCACAUGAUUAAAGGUAUUCCGGUAGACGAUGGGGAUGCGUUCCAUUAGAUAGUAGGCGGGGUAACGGCCCACCUAGUCUUCGAUGGAUAGGGGUUCUGAGAGGAAGGUCCCCCACAUUGGAACUGAGACACGGUCCAAACUCCUACGGGAGGCAGCAGUGAGGAAUAUUGGUCAAUGGGCGCAGGCCUGAACCAGCCAAGUAGCGUGAAGGAUGACUGCCCUAUGGGUUGUAAACUUCUUUUAUAAAGGAAUAAAGUCGGGUAUGGAUACCCGUUUGCAUGUACUUUAUGAAUAAGGAUCGGCUAACUCCGUGCCAGCAGCCGCGGUAAUACGGAGGAUCCGAGCGUUAUCCGGAUUUAUUGGGUUUAAAGGGAGCGUAGAUGGAUGUUUAAGUCAGUUGUGAAAGUUUGCGGCUCAACCGUAAAAUUGCAGUUGAUACUGGAUAUCUUGAGUGCAGUUGAGGCAGGCGGAAUUCGUGGUGUAGCGGUGAAAUGCUUAGAUAUCACGAAGAACUCCGAUUGCGAAGGCAGCCUGCUAAGCUGCAACUGACAUUGAGGCUCGAAAGUGUGGGUAUCAAACAGGAUUAGAUACCCUGGUAGUCCACACGGUAAACGAUGAAUACUCGCUGUUUGCGAUAUACGGCAAGCGGCCAAGCGAAAGCGUUAAGUAUUCCACCUGGGGAGUACGCCGGCAACGGUGAAACUCAAAGGAAUUGACGGGGGCCCGCACAAGCGGUGGAGCAUGUGGUUUAAUUCGAAGCAACGCGAAGAACCUUACCAGGUCUUGACAUCCUUUGACCACUCUAGAGAUAGAGCUUUCCCUUCGGGGACAAAGUGACAGGUGGUGCAUGGUUGUCGUCAGCUCGUGUCGUGAGAUGUUGGGUUAAGUCCCGCAACGAGCGCAACCCCUGUGAUUAGUUGCCAACACGUAAAGGUGGGAACUCUAAUCAGACUGCCGGUGAUAAAUCGGAGGAAGGUGGGGACGACGUCAAAUCAUCAUGCCCUUUAUGUCCUGGGCUACACACGUACUACAAUGGCCGCUACAGAGGGAAGCUAAGUAGUGAUAUGGAGCAAAACCCUAAAAACGGUCUCAGUUCGGAUUGAAGGCUGAAAUUCGCCUUCAUGAAGCUGGAAUUGCUAGUAAUGGCAGGUCAGCAUACUGCCGUGAAUACGUUCCCGGGCCUUGUACACACCGCCCGUCACACCAUGGGAGUUGGGAGUGCCCAAAGCCGGUGAGGCAACCGCAAGGAGCCAGCCGUCUAAGGCAAGACCAAUGACUGGGGUG
rnacentral:rRNA from 1 species